GGAGGGUGCAAACGUUGCUCGGAAUUACUGGGCGUAAAGCGCAUGUAGGCGGUCUAUCAAGUCUCGUGUGAAAGCCCUGGGCUCAACCCAGGAAGGGCACGGGAAACUGGCAGACUAGAGUACGGUAGAAGUGGGCGGAAUUCCGGGUGUAGAGGUGAAAUUCGUAGAUAUCCGGAGGAACACCAGUAGCGAAGGCGGCUCACUAGCCCGAUACUGACGCUGAGAUGCGAAAGCGUGGGGAGCAAACAGGGAUUAGAUACCCUGGUAGUCCACGCCGUAAACGAUGGAUACUAGGUGUUGGAGGCUUGGCCCCCUUCAGCGCCGCAGCUAACGCAAUAAGUAUCCCGCCUGGGGAGUACGGUCGCAAGACUA
rnacentral:rRNA from 1 species